rnacentral:rRNA from 1 species
CCUCUGGAGGUAUCGGAAGUGCGAAUGUUGACAUGAGUAACGAUAAAGGGAGUGAGAGACUCCCUCGCCGAAAGACCAAGGGUUCCUGCUUAAAGUUAAUCUGAGCAGGGUUAGCCGGCCCCUAAGGCGAGGCCGAAAGGCGUAGUCGAUGGGAACCACGUUAAUAUUCGUGGGCCUGCGGGUAGUGACGGAUCGCGUAUGUUGUUCUUCCUUAUUGGAUUGGAAGGGCUUCGAAG